CAAAGUAAGUGCCCUUUGAUGAAGCUUAUAGUUUCUUUUCAAACUGGUAAUGUGCUUAAAAUGACUUUGGUUGGUCAUGGUGAUGAAUUCACUUUCUGAAUGCAGUAUAAUCAUUUGUCUCACCAUUAAUUUACUUUGGAUGUGGAUCGUGACUUUUUGACUGCAUAUUGUGUCUUCUUUGCAUUAUAAGGUCAGUAGAUAUGCUUGACCUUAUGAAACUCUCUGUUUGGCUGUGAUUGGCUGGAAUCCCACACAGGCUUUGAUUGGCACACUCUGACCAAAUGUUCCUUUGGAGUACACUGUCGCAGAGUUAUUAUGUUUUUGUGUUUCUUGUGGUCAGCAUCCAUGUUUCUGGGAUGUCUACCUCAAUGUCCAAUUUAUGUUGUAACAGGCAAAGUCUUAUGUGGAUGGCCUCUUAUACCCUGCAUGUAUAAUAAUAGGAUCACAAUCAAUGUACUCUACUUCAGUCCAGAGCAGGUGGUUUCCAGGUGUCUUCUGAAACUGCAGAGGCCUUUGUCUUAGCAUGUCAUUUCUCUAUAUGCUAUAUAACUCGUUUAACCUUACUUGCAUAGGUUUUCCUGUUCUGCUGAUGUAAACUUUGCCUUACUCUCAGGCAAUCUUUUCAACCAGGGGCUCUUGUUUUAAAGAUGCUGUGCCAUGGAUGGGGAGUGUCCUGUUACUAUUUGUAACAUCAGUGAAGUGAAUGGAAUGCUUUCGGUUCUUCAAAUGCUGUAGCAAGCAAGAUUGUGAAUGUGUUAUAUACAGAGCGUUCCCAGAUCCUUCGCUGGUAGGAUGAUAAGUUCCACCCCGUUUUAGUAAUGAGUUUAGAAAUCUCACCAUUGCACCCUAAAGCUCCAUUCCUUUGAUGCACUGUGAUCUGUGUGAUCUUGGACCACAAAUCCUAAUCCAUAUCCUCCCAAAGGAACACACAAUUUAACUCCACAUUUACAAAAAAGUGUUAUUUGAGAGGUGAUCCACAAGUAUCAGUCAGCUGGACCAAGGAUGGAGUGCUACUUAGUAAAAACAACAGCCUGGUUAUUAGACAAGUGACAUUUAAAGAUAAGGGCAAUUAUGAAUGUACUGCUAAAUAUGAUUAUGGCAAAGCAAACUCUUCCUUCCAGAUGGAUGUCAGAGGAUUGGAAAUCAUUGAAAUUAUCACCACAACAGAGAAAUGGAUCUUACCAUGUAUGUAUGGAGUCACAUCCUAAAAGGAAAAAUUUGGAGAAAAAUAUAUAAUGCAAUACUUGCAAAGAACACAGUUACCUCAUCAUGGUGUACCUCUCAAAAGAAUCUUGCCCAUUUCCUUGUAUGGUCCUUGAACUGUUCUGGUGUUUUGUAGCUUUCUUGGCCUGGUUCUGGGUCCACUGCUUCCACCAGAUCACUGAAACCCUAUUUUAUCAACAAAGAGAGCAAAACACUGAUUGGCGGAAGAAUCUCUCUUUCCUCGUCUGGUAAGGCCAUCCUCAACUCAUGGUAUGCCUCGUCUGAAAUCAAGCCUUCAUCUUUCGCAACAAGUACAUGCUGCGUCGUCCGACAAGUGGAGUUUUCUCUCUCGUCACCAGCAUCGUGUCCAAGUGGAAUUACAACUUCACGUCCUUGUACAGUGAACUUAAUCUGAAGAAGAAGACAGGGGUUUCCCUUUAAAAUUUGUUUUCAUAUGAACAUAGCUAGAUAGAUAGAUUGAUCGCCACAUAGAUGUAUGAUUUUUUUUCGCGACUUUGCUGUUGGUCAAUGUCUCAGUUCUAUUUUUCACGAAGAAGUAAAAUUGUUACUUACCUUGA